GAGGAGGGGCAGCUUCCCAGAGAAUGACGUCAGAGACUGGAUCCAAAGCAAUGGCCCGACAAGGGGUGCCUCUAACCCCCUCCCCUCUCCCAUUUGUUUAGUUGAGGACGCUGGGGCUCAGAUAGUAAGAACAAACGGGCACAUGACCUAGGCGGUACCUGGCGCUCCUCCAAGCAGUUUGCACACAUUAAUGCAUUUUGGUCCUCACAGCCCUCGGUUUACGGAGGAGGGAACUGCAGCCAGAAGAGGGACGGAAUGGUCCACGUGGCACAAAACUUGACAGCAAGAAAUUGCGAACACGUCCUGAACCCUUCUACAAGAAACCAGUCCCCUGCUAAGUGCCAUCCACACCUAAUCUCAUUUACUCCCCAACAACCUGAAAAGCAGCCGGCUCCACUUGACUUUAUAUUCAGUUCAUUCAGGAGAAUGGAUACAGAAACUGGUCCAUCACGCAAUGGGGUCGGACCCAGCCAUCAAAAGGAGUGAACUACUGCGCCACGCAUCCGGGGGAGUCUCGGCAUAAUGGUGCAAGACAGACGGCGGCCAGAAAAGAGCUCACACCGGAGGCCAGAGACAGAACUGAUCUGUGGCAAUAGAACUGAGAUAAGGGACGUUCGGCGAGGGUGGGGGACCUGCAAAGAGGCAGGAGAGAACUUUCUGGGCGGGAGGGGAUGGAAAUGUUCUGUAUCUUCAUUAGGACAUGCUCACACGGGUG